GAUGAAGAACGUAGUGAAAUGCGAUACGUAAUGUGAAUUGCAGAAUUCAGUGAAUCAUCGAAUCUUUGAACGCACAUUGCGCCCGCCAGCAUUCUGGCGGGCAUGCCUGUCCGAGCGUCAUUUCAACCCUCAGGGUCCCCCCGCCUCGCGCGGUCGGAGCCUGGUGUUGGGGAUCGGCCCGCCCCGCGCGGCGCCGUCCCCCAAAUACAGUGGCGGUCCCGCCGCAGCCUCCCCUGCGCAGUAGUUAUCAACUCGCACUGGAGCGCGGCGCGGCCACGCCGUAAAACCCCCGACUUUCAGAAAGUUGACCUCGGAUCAGGUAGGAAUACCCGCUGAACUUAAGCAUAUCAAUAAGCGGAGGA
rnacentral:misc_RNA from 1 species